GAUGAACGCUGGCGGCGUGCCUAAUACAUGCAAGUCGAGCGAACAGACGAGGAGCUUGCUCCUCUGACGUUAGCGGCGGACGGGUGAGUAACACGUGGAUAACCUACCUAUAAGACUGGGAUAACUUCGGGAAACCGGAUCUAAUACCGGUCAAUAUAUUGAACCGCAUGGUUCAAUAGUGAAAGACGGUUUUGCUGUCACUUAUAGAUGGAUCCGCGCCGCAUUAGCUAGUUGGUAAGGUAACGGCUUACCAAGGCGACGAUGCGUAGCCGACCUGAGAGGGUGAUCGGCCACACUGGAACUGAGACACGGUCCAGACUCCUACGGGAGGCAGCAGUAGGGAAUCUUGCGCAAUGGGCGAAAGCUUGACGGAGCAACGCCGCGUGAGUGAUGAAGGUCUUCGGAUCGUAAAACUCUGUUAGUAGGGAAGAAGAAAUGUGUAAGUAACUAUGCACGUCUUGACGGUACCAAAACAGAAAGCCACGGCUAACUUCGUG
rnacentral:rRNA from 1 species